rnacentral:rRNA from 1 species
GUGCAGCAGGCGAGAAUUUUUCUCAAUGGGGGCAACCCUGAAGGAGCGACGCCGCGUGGAGGAUGAAGGCUUUCGGGUUGUAAACUCCUGUCAUUUGAGAACAAGUGGCCGAACCUAACUACUUCGGCCUUGAUAGUAUCAGAAGAGGAAGGGACGGCUAACUCUGUGCCAGCGGCCGCGGUAAUACAGAGGUCCCAAGCGUUGUUCGGAUUCAUUGGGCGUAAAGGGUGCGUAGGUGGCGCCGUCAGUGGGGUGUGAAAUUUCGGAGCUUAACUCCGAAACUGCAUUCCAUACUGCGGUGCUUGAGGACUGGAGAGGAGACUGGAAUUUACGGUGUAGCAGUGAAAUGCGUAGAGAUCGUAAGGAAGACCAGUGGCGAAGGCGGGUCUCUGGACAGUUCCUGACACUGAGGCACGAAGGCCAGGGGAGCAAACGGGAUUAGAUACCCCGGUAGU